GAUGAACGCUGGCGGCGUGCCUAAUACAUGCAAGUCGAGCGAACAGACGAGGAGCUUGCUCCUCUGACGUUAGCGGCGGACGGGUGAGUAACACGUGGAUAACCUACCUAUAAGACUGGGAUAACUUCGGGAAACCGGAGCUAAUACCGGAUAAUAUAUUGAACCGCAUGGUUCAAUAGUGAAAGACGGUUUUGCUGUCACUUAUAGAUGGAUCCGCGCCGCAGUAGCUAGUUGGUAAGGUAACGGCUUACCAAGGCAACGAUGCGUAGCCGACCUGAGAGGGUGAUCGGCCACACUGGAACUGAGACACGGUCCAGACUCCUACGGGAGGCAGCAGUAGGGAAGCUUCCGCAAUGGGCGAAAGCCUGACGGAGCAACGCCGCGUGAGUGAUGAAGGUCUUCGGAUCGUAAAACUCUGUUAUUAGGGAAGAACAAAUGUGUAAGUAACUAUGCACGUCUUGACGGUACCUAAUCAGAAAGCCACGGCUAACUACGUG
rnacentral:rRNA from 1 species